rnacentral:rRNA from 1 species
AGCGAACGCUGGCGGCAGGCCUAACACAUGCAAGCCGAACGGACCCUUCGGGGUUAGUGGCGGACGGGUGAGUAACACGUGGGAACGUGCCCUAAGGUACGGAAUAACGCAGAGAAAUUUGCGCUAAUACCGUAUGUGCCCUUCGGGGGAAAGAUUUAUCGCCUUAGGAGCGGCCCGCGUCUGAUUAGCUAGUUGGUGAGGUAAUGGCUCACCAAGGCGACGAUCAGUCGCUGGUCUGAGAGGAUGACCAGCCACACUGGGACUGAGACACGGCCCAGACUCCUACGGGAGGCAGCAGUGGGGAAUCUUGCGCAAUGGGCGAAAGCCUGACGCAGCCAUGCCGCGUGAAUGAUGAAGGUCUUAGGAUUGUAAAAUUCUUUCACCGGGGACGAUAAUGACGGUACCCGGAGAAGAAGCCCCGGCUAACUUCGUGCCAGCAGCCGCGGUAAAAC